rnacentral:rRNA from 1 species
AUGAUGCUCCUGGUGGUCCUAAUGUCUACGUAUCACGGGGACAAUUGUAUCUCACUUCAGGCUGCUUUUGAGCUGUCUUUCUGGGUUCUUGAAGAUUCUAGUAGUGAAAAUUGUUGGACCCUCAAGCUCAAUAUCAGCUACUUGCGACUGUUUGGAAUAGACUAUUCAAGCUCUGGGCAAUUUUACGGUGUUAUCUCAGCUCACCCAGAACACAAUGUGAUAUUCAUAAUCAAAGAAUUUAUAUCGAGAUGCCGAUCACUGAAAAAAUUAUAUUCAUAUGAAAUGGAUUCUGGGGAGCUGCAUUUCAUAUGUGAUCUUCCAUGGAAUUCCAGGUUGCCUUAUCUUUCCGAUGUUCCUUUGUUCUCGAAGUCAUUAGCAGACGGGCACUAA